GUAAUUUAUAAAUUUUAUUUUAUUAAAAUACAACACUUCUUGGCUAAUUGGCAUACAAAUCUAUCCUAAAGAUAAAAUCAUUAACACUUAAGAACAGAGCAAAUAGCCUUUAAAAUCAUAUUUUCAUUUAAAGAAAUGGCUUUCUGUAGAAAAAGUAUUGUAAUUAUAUACUCAUUAAUAAUACACAUAUUAAUGAAGAUAUUAUAAACUGUAUCCUGUAUAAGUAAUACAGAUACAGAUUCUUGAAGUUGCUAAUGUGACCCCAGAGGGAGCCUUGACAUACGAGUCAAGUCAAAACAAGUUAUGCCGGGAAUAUUGUGUGAAGCACGAUGUGUCUGUCUCAAUAAUGAAUAAGGCCAUUAACGCAGAUCAUGUGAAACUGUCAUGACCACUGAAAGGAAAGGAGGUAGCAAAGCAAGACAGCCGGAAGGAUUGAGGAACGAUCAAGACAUUGCAAAUCAGACUAGAAGGGCUAUAGCAUGUGCAGGACUAAAGCAAAGUCAUAAAAUUAAUGAAGUCAGCCAUGUAUAGGCAGUAAAUUGCAAAGUUUGAAGUACAGUUCAGUGACAAAAAUAAACAAUAUAAUACAGUAUAAAGUUCCAAAUCCAGACGUACAGUAUUCAGAAUGAUUUAAAAUCCAGACUUUCACAUCUCUUUUUUUCCCCCCUUUUUUGAAGAAAUUCUUUGUAUGAUCUACGCUUGUCCAUUUGAUAGGUUUUCAUCAUAAAAUGUGUGAAUAGUCCUAAUUCUCAAUUUCACUUCAGCACAGACAUCAUUCUUUACUACUUUUACUUUCAUCUCCCCAUGAUUAUCACCACACUGCAGCCUGAGAAUGACUAAUGUAGCAAUGUUUAAUUUUUUUUUAAUUAGUAAGUAAUUGAAUACCAAAGAGUAUUAGUAAUUGAAUACCAAAGAGCAUGGUAAACUUUAAAGCUGAAUUUAUGCUUGACAAUGAUUACAUACUUCAGCUAAUUCUGCUCCGAAGUGCUGAGUAUGCUGACAAGGAGAAUUUUAACAGAAAUUUCUUUCCAUAUGAAAAAAAUAGAUUUUAUAAACGGUGCUCAUAGAUCACAAGAUUACCUUUAGUGCUAUCUGAAAUGGUAUUAAUUGAUUUGGUAUUCAGCUAAGCACAGGACUGGUGCAAGAGCUGGUUUAGAGAAGGCACUAGGAUGCAAAAUUUAGAGGUGGCAAAACUUUUGGAAUUUAGGCAGCUGCAUGGCAGCAGAAUUUCAGUCCCACAGAGACUGCACUGGGCUGUAAAAUGACUAGCAGGUGAAUAUGGAGGCUGGAAGGAGAACAGCGAGCGGAUCAUAAAAUAGAAAAUACAAUGACAAUCCGAAUGUGAUUGACAAAGUGAAAAGCAGGAUCUGGAGAUUAAACGAAAUGUGAAACAGCGAUCUAAAAGUGAAAAUUUAUUAAAAGGACAAAUGCUUCAAGACAAAAAAAAUUAAGAACUUUUAACAAACCAAAUGCAAUGAAAUUUCUGAAGGCUAUGGUUUCUGAGAGCACAAAUGCAUUAUUUCUCACACACUUUCUUGUUCUGCAAUGUAAAUCUUUGAAAUGAGAGCAGAAAAAGUUACUAGUAAAACUUUUGAAAUUUUCA